rnacentral:rRNA from 1 species
UAGGGAAUCUUCGGCAAUGGACGAAAGUCUGACCGAGCAACGCCGCGUGAGUGAAGAAGGUUUUCGGAUCGUAAAACUCUGUUGUUAGAGAAGAACAAGGACGUUAGUAACUGAACGUCCCCUGACGGUAUCUAACCAGAAAGCCACGGCUAACUACGUGCCAGCAGCCGCGGUAAUACGUAGGUGGCAAGCGUUGUCCGGAUUUAUUGGGAGGAAAGCGAGCGCAGGCGGUUUCUUAAGUCUGAUGUGAAAGCUCCCGGCUCAACCGGGGAGAGUCAUUGGAGACUGGGAGACUUGAGUGCAGAAGAGGAGAGUGGAAUUCCGUGUGGAGCGGUGAAAUGCGUAGAUAUAUGGAGGAACACCAGGGGCGAAGGCGGCUAUCUGGGCUGUGACUGACGCUGAGGCUCGAAAGCGUGGGGAGCAAACAGG